UCGAGAAUCAUUGUCAAUGCACGAAAGUGUGAACAUGCGACGCCGCGUGGAGGAAGACGGCCUUCGGGUUGUAAACUCCUGUCAGCAGGAAGGAAAAAUCAGACGAUUAAUACUCGUUUGUUUUGACAGUACCUGCAGAGGAAGUCACGGCUAACUCUGUGCCAGCAGCCGCGGUAAUACAGAGGUGGCGAACGUUGUUCGGAUUUACUGGGCGUAAAGGGUCCGCAGGCGGUCUUGUGUGUCGGAUGUGAAAGCUCACGGCUCAACCGUGGAAUUGCAUUCGAAACUGCAAGACUAGAGUACUGGAGGGGAGAAGGGAACACUUGGUGUAGCGGUGAAAUGCGUAGAUA
rnacentral:rRNA from 1 species